rnacentral:misc_RNA from 1 species
UGCUUGGGUGGGGACGGUGUCUAU